UGUCGAGCAGCUGUGUUGAACUUUAUUUAUUAAAUAGCAGCGCCGCGGUUUUUUCCUUUUCUGCGCCUACUGACAUCCUCACAACACUUGAGACGGCUGUUCAAUUUACGUGUCUCGGCAGAAAAUAAAAGCUAGGAAAGAAGAUACAAUAUUCUUCCUUCAAGACAGCACAGGCCUAUAGAAAAUACUUUAAAGUUUAUCCUGGAAGAUGAGCUUCAUCAAAUAGAUGCAUAUUCUGUAGAAGAGAGAAUGCCUUUUGCUAGACAUCUGAAUGAAGUCCAGAGGAUCAUCUCUACACAAUGACUCUCAGAUGCAAAGGAAAAUCCUCGACCUCUUCUUUUAGCACCUCUUAAAAGGUUUGGACUUCUGGGAUGUUCUUCAUAUCAACCUGCAGAAUGGCCACAGCUUGGAGGGACACCUGCCCUUUUACCACCAGCCAUUCAUGUUAAACCAGUGCAGCACCAAUGGGGCGCUAAGAAGACACUGACAGCACUGAGAAUGUGGAAGUCCUGCAACCACCAUCGCACCCUCUGUCACCUGCAAGAAAUGAAAAAUUUAAGAAGGCUUUUCCUUUAAAACAAAUGCUCAUGAAUGUCACUGCUGCACCUUUGUGAUUUUAAAUUCAAGUUGUAAAGAGUCACAGAAUAAAGUUGUGUGUUUUACACAGUU